CUAAGUUAUAAAAUCAUGGACCGUGCCCUAGCUCACCGAUCGCCGACCCUUCUCCCUCCCUCUCGCGCUCGCACGCGCAGGCGGCGCUGUGCGCCGUGCCCGACGCCGCUUCCUCCUCCUUUGUCAGUCUUCUGCUCCCUCUCGUCUCCUCCGUGAGCACCCUUCACCCGAUCCAUCACCAUCGGCGAUGAGAGCCACCAACUGAAUGCCACCCGACGAUGCCCUAGGACGCAGCCGCCGUUGAUCUUUGGGCUACCCCUCCACCCUUCGAUCGAUUGAGCAGUCCCCUAGCCCUUUUGCGCGAGCGGGGUUUGGUGAUGCUACAACCACUGCCGGCACUCGAGAUCCUUCACAGCUGUCUUCUUCUCUCUUCACAGAGACCAUUGAUUCGGCCAUACCCAGGGAUCAAUUGGGAGGUAAAACCUUUUGUGGUAGAAGUUAUUUGAUUGGUGUUUUGAUUGAUGCUUAGAGGUGGCAGUCACUCGUCGGUUACUGAUUGAGUAUCUUCGAGGUGACUUGCUAAUAUAAUGGAGUAGGAUAUCAUAGAGAGUUAUAUUAUUGUGAUGUCUCAGUGGUAAGAAACGGGUUGAUCUAUCUACUUAGAGUAUUUUAUUGCAGUUGUAUUCAUAUACCUAUUUGUUCCUUGUAUGGUUGCCGGUCCCACGGAUAUGGAGGGAGGUAAAUGUAGGUACACAGGUGGAAAGUGCAUAGCGGAGACGUAUAAUUUGCAUAUAUGAAAGAUCAUAUGAUGUGUGUUUAUGCAAUGAUGUAGUGGUAACAUAUUAUACCUUCUAUCAUGGUUUAGUUUAUCUAUAUCGUUAUCUGCACAAUAUUAUGUGUGAUGAUUUGUGUGGUUGGUUCAAUAUGAUAUUGAUUUAAGUGUUCAGCAUGUAGUGAUGUAGACUAAUUAGGUUGUUUUUGGAUGAAUAGAGUAAUGCAAUUAUUCAUUGCCAUGAGAGUUGAUAUAUAUACUUAUGAGAGUAGGUAGUUAGACUCAUAGUCCUCUAGGCUAAGACAUGAUGGUUACAGAACAUAACCGGACAAAACACUUAAUAUCCUACUUGUGGACGAGGGUUUUGUUGGAUGAUAUGAUUAAAUUUAAAUUAAUUAAUUGAAUGAAUUUGUAGGUUGGAUUUAUGUUGAAUUGACUUAUUAGUAAAUGGAUUGCUAAAUGAAUCAAUUUAAGAGUUGAUGAUGUUGGAUUAAAUCUAAUUUAACCAAGGGAUUUAGGUGAAUCGAGAUUCAUAGUUGGAUUGAGAUUUUCCCCUAAUUAAGUUGGGUUUGAGUUUGACUAGUUGGUGCUUAUGAAAUUAGCUAAGUUGUACAAUAUAUAAUUUACAGGAUGUCAUUUCGGGAUGAGCACUCCGACGCGGGGAUUGUUUAGCUCGAGCUAUAUAUUAAAGGCGGGUACUUCUUGCUUUGUUUUUCUUUUAGUACAUUGACCUUAGUGCAUGAAUUAUUUUGGAUAA